UUAAACCGGUUUCGUUCUUAUAUUUCACAGUAUAAACUACAAAAACAUUGGUUUGCAUUAACACUCGCCAUUUUACACAGCUCGCAGACGGUAGUGUGUGUGUGUGCUCCCUGCUAAACACCAAUUUCACACUGCUAUUUUGGUGAAUUUUCUUGCAAAGUCAUGGGCAAACCAAAGGUCCAGGUUGCUCCUGAGAAUAGGAGAACCUCUCCCCGUCUGGCUCUGAAAGUGAAAGCUGCCCCCGUGGAGAAGAGAAAACCUGCUCCAAAAAAGGCACCAAAAGCCAAGAAGGUCAAGGCAGCAGAGAACGGCAACCCCAAGACUGAUGACUCCAAGCCUGAGACAACUGAGGGCAAUUGAACAAUCCUUGAUGUCCUCACUCUGUGUACUUGGUGAUUGUACAGUUUUAAAUAAGUAUUUUUUACCAAGUUUUUAUAUUACAAAAUGUCAUUUAUAGGUUCAUUUUGGGCUUGCACUUGAUGUAACAAAAACUGUGCUCACAAUUUCUCAUAUCCAUUUUAUAUCCAUUUAAAAUGACCGUCCAUAUCUUGUAGACGUGGCAUGUUUAGUUUGUCUAAUGUUUUUUUUUUCUAUUUUGUAACUGCUGAGUAGUAGAUAUUUUACAAACAGAUGGAUACCGAGUCUAAUUUUGAAACAUAAGGCAGCUAAAGCAUAUUAAAAAUAAAAAUCCAAAGAGGAAGGGAUUCACUCCUCUCUCCUUUGUUAAAAAGAAUUCUCACCAAAUGUUUUUCUGACACUGUAAUAUUAAAACACUUGAUCUGGUUGGUGGGGAAGGUGUCAAAAUACACCCCCACCUAAAAAGAAAGCAUAUUCGGAAACUCGGCUCUUUUGAUGAAAGGUCCUGAUAAGUUAUGUUUUAUUAGAGAACGGAUUUCUGACCACACGGAUUGAACUUAAUGUACUUAAAGGAAAAAUGUCAAAAUGUCUUGCUUUGUUGUGAAAUAAAAAAAAAUAUAAAAGCGUAUGAUAUGACAAAUGGA